CCCUUAGACGUUCUGGGCCGCACGCGCGCUACACUGACGGAGCCAGCGAGUAUAAACCUUGGCCGAGAGGUCUGGGAAAUCUUGUGAAACUCCGUCGUGCUGGGGAUAGAGCAUUGUAAUUAUUGCUCUUCAACGAGGAAUUCCUAGUAAGCGCAAGUCAUCAGCUUGCGUUGAUUACGUCCCUGCCCUUUGUACACACCGCCCGUCGCUCCUACCGAUUGAGCGAUCCGGUAAAUGUUUUGGAUUGGUGCCGGGGCGGCUAGCUGCCGGUCGCUACGAAAUUUUGUGAACCUUAUCGCUUAGAGGAAGGAAAAGUCGUAACA
rnacentral:rRNA from 1 species